GAUGCUGGCUUCCAACGGUUGCUCCGGCCCGUCUGAAACACGGACCAAGGAGUCUAACGUAUGUGCGAGUGUGUGAGUGGCAAACUUAUACGCGUAAUGAAAGUGAGGCCGUAUGGCCAUGUUGGGGUCACCAACAACCGACCUUGAUCUUCGGUGAAAGGUUUGAGUAUGAGCAUAUCCGUUAGGACCCGAAAGAUGGUGAACUAUGCCUGAGCAGGGUGAAGCCAGGGGAAACUCUGGUGGAGGCUCGUAGCGAUACUGACGUGCAAAUCGUUCGUCAGACUUGGGUAUAGGGGCGAAAGACUAAUCGAACCAUCUAGUAGCUGGUUCCCUCCGAAGUUUCCCUCAGGAUAGCUAGAGUCUUUAUCAGUUUUGUCAGGUAAAGCGAAUGAUUAGAGGUUCCGGGGAAGUAACUUCCUCGACCUAUUCUCAAACUUUAAAUGGGCAAGAUCCAGUAGUUACUUAAUUGAACUAUUGGGGUCAAUGAGACGACUCUAAGUGGGCCAUUUUUGGUAAGCAGAACUGGCGAUGAGGGAUGAACCUAACGCUCGGUUAAGGUGCUAAACUGCUCGCUCAUCAGAUACCACAAAGGGUGUUGGUCGAUCUUAACAGCAGGACGGUGGUCAUGGAAGUCGAAAUCCGCUAAGGAGUGUGUAACAACUCACCUGCCGAAUCGACUAGCCCCGAAAAUGGAUAGCGCUGAAGCGAGUGACCGAUACCGGGCCAUUGUUGCAAGAUAAUUGGCAACAAUGAGUAGGAGGGCGUGGGGGUUGUGAAGAAGCUUGGACGUGAGUCUGAGUGAAACAGCUUCCAGUGCAGAUCUUGGUGGUAGUAGCAAGUAUUCAAUAAGAGAACAUUGAAGGCCGAAGUGGGGAAGGGUUCCAUGUGAACAGCACUUGGACAUGGGUUAGCCGAUCAAAAAUAGCACCUAUUGUGCUAUUUUUGAGUGCCUAGGUGCUAUUCUAUCGCCGUACUGUCUGAAAAGACAGUACGGCGAAGCUACCAUCUGCUGGAUUACGGCUGAACGCCUCUAAGCCGGAAUCCAUGCUGGAUAAGCAGUGUUGUACACCGUGCUCAAUGCUACAAGAAAAAGGCUAGGUCAAAAUUCAUUGCUGCUUAUAUGGGCAAGCUCCGGGUGCAAGGUCCGAGGUUUAGACCGUCAAAGGUGCUAUUCCAGACACCCUUCCAUCGAUUACUAUUUGGAUAACCGUAGUAAUUCUAGAGCUAAUACAUGCGUCAAGGCCCGACUUCGGAAGGGCUGCGUUUAUUAGAUAGAUUUAUGGAUAGAACCUAGUGCGAAUAAAUCUAUCCCUCGGAUUUUC
rnacentral:rRNA from 1 species